GUGCCAGCAGCCGCGGUAAUACGAAGGGGGCUAGCGUUGCUCGGAAUUACUGGGCGUAAAGCGCACGUAGGCGGUCUUUUAAGUCGGGGGUGAAAUCCUGGAGCUCAACUCCAGAACUGCCUUCGAUACUGGAAGACUUGAGUCCGGGAGAGGUGAGUGGAACUGCGAGUGUAGAGGUGAAAUUCGUAGAUAUUCGCAAGAACACCAGUGGCGAAGGCGGCUCACUGGCCCGGUACUGACGCUGAGGUGCGAAAGCGUGGGGAGCAAACAGGAUUAGAUACCCCCGUAGUCC
rnacentral:rRNA from 1 species